AUUUCUCCCGUUUCCCCUUUUGCCCUCGCACUCGCUCUCUCCCCGACCGCACGCUCUCUCCCGGCCAACACUCUCUCCCCGACGACCACAAGGCGCCCGACGACCACUCGCUCCUCCCUGCCCAGAUCCCUUGUGCCGCCGGCCAGUCGCCGCCCUCUCCCUCUCGUCGGUGUCUUCCUCACCGCAGCCUUGCUCCUCACCACCCCUAAAACUAGCAACCCGUCUCCCCCUCGUCGGUCAAAGGUGAAAUUUUUACCAGCCGGGGUGCUCGAUCUGUGGGCGGCGGUGCUCGAUCCGUGUUGGAGCAGCGGGAGGAGGAGGGCAGUGCUGGAUUGGAGCAGCGGUGCUGGACCGGAGCAGCGGGAAUAGGGGGGGUGGUGCCGGCCGCUCUUACUUUGUGUAGUCCUCUUCACUCUCGUCAUGUCGUUGCCACCGCCGAGGAAGACGGAGAGCCUGUCGGAGGGAUGAGCGCCAUGGCCAGUUCUGACCUCCUCCGUCCAGAUCCAGCUCCAGCAAUCAUCCCCUCUUGCUGCUUGCUAUCUCAAUUUCAAGACUGAAGAAGAGAACAUGGGGAGCAGCAGCUGCCCUCUGCUCUGCUCUUAUGCGAAUGCUCUACUGCAGGACCGUGGCAGCGAUGCUCGCCAAAGCGGACGACAACCACUCCCGUGCAAACAAAGGUGAGCAUUCAGGAAAAGAACACUUGGCUGAACUUCAGGAAAAAGAUGCACUGAAUCUUACACCCGCACCAAGACAUACAACAAAGAAAUGAUUAAAUGAAAUGAUCAAGUGAUGAAGUGAUGGAAUGAUCAAGUGAUGAAAUGAUGGAAUGAUCAAGUGUAACUGUACCUGGAUUUUGAACAAUUUCGUCUCCUUCCAUUCCCUCUCCAUCAUCUCCUUCCAUAUCAUCUCCUACAUGUCCUUCCAUUUCAUUUUCUGCAUUUUCAUCCAUUUCACCCACAUCUUCUGCAGGUGGAGUGAAGUUGAGGUCUGGGAGAUCCAUUUUCUCCUGAAGAUAUGAAUAUGUAAGAUGAAGUAGAAGUAGAAGUAGAAGUAGAAGUAGAAGUACAAGAAGAAGAAGAAGAAGUACAUAUAAAUUCAGUCUGUGUACUGUCAAUUGUUGUAUGUUUACUGUCAAAGCAAGAAUUAGUCAAUUGCUGUCUGUUUACUGUCAAAGCAAGAAUGACAAUAUUGUUAUGGUCAAUUGUUGUCCGUUUACUGUCAAAGCAAGAAUUAGUUUCCUAGGUUAAUGAAACAUUACCAGCCAUAAUUAGUUUUCUGUAUCUUAAUUAUCUCUGAACAUUUUUGCCUGAAAACUGAAUGUACAAUGUUUCUGUAGAUAAUUUGGUCGAAAAGGGACGACAUGCUGAGGUGUACAACAUUCAGUUUCUCUUUCGACAUGCUGAGCUCUAUAAGUGCUCACAUUCUUUGUAUGGAUCUUAUUGAAUGAGUACUUGUUAACAUUGGUACCAUUUUCUUCAGAUUUUCGUUGGUGGUCUUCUGAUUGAUUUGGAAGGAAGAAUUGUUGGUAUGAAUUUCAUAGACGAGAAUAAAACUCCCUUUUUGCCCGUCCAGAUUGUUGGGAGAUGCCUGAAACACUUCAGAAAUUUGGGACACUUCUUUCCUGUAUAUGUGACGAUUGCUUGAAGGAUUUGGUGUUGGUGUCAUAUCCUACACGUUUUGACAGGUGAACAGAUGGACAGUGGCUGCUCCUUGCUGAUCAAUUCAAAAUUGCUCUGGCUAUCAAUUCAAGCUUGCUAUGAUUGGUGAGAAGACGUCCUGGUCAAUCACCACAUCUGAUCAAUUUCUGUCUGUGGCGAGAAGAAGUGGUACAACUCCGGCGAUCAAUUUCUUUGGCGAUUAACAAUUUUGAUCAAUUCAAACAGCAACACAUGCAGUGCUAGUGCUGCUGUUGGUCAGUGCGGGGAGUAGCACGGGCGGAGGUCAAUUGGCCGGAUCCGGAGCUCCAGUGCCUGAAUCGAGGAGCUGGAAGGCUGAGGCAGGAGGAGGAGCACAGGCUGCACUGCUGCUGCUGUUGGUCAGUGCGGGGAGGAGCACGGACGGAGGUCAAUUGGCCGGAUCCGGAGCUCCAGUGCCUGAAUCAAGGAGCUGGAAGGCUCAGGCAGGAGGAGGAGGAGCACGGGCGGCGCUGUUGCUGGUCGGUGCGGGGAGGAGCAUGGGCGGCGCGAAGGCCAGUAGUCGCGGGGGGCGCGACGGCCAGGAGUCGCGGGCGGCUGGAGGCUGUGGCGGACGGCGAGGGAGCUGCGUACGAGUUUGGGCUCUUGAUUGGAGCGGAGGAAGGCGGCCGACGAGGGAGCUGCGACCGGCGCGGACGGACGCCGGAGCUGCAGCAGUGGGAUGGAGCCUGGCGGAGGGGAGGAGCGAUGGAGUAAGACGAAGAUCCCCGGCGACAAGAAUUUCAAAUUGAGGGUAGUUUGGUAUUUUAUCCUGUUUUCACCUGGUCGGAAAAGUUCCCCAACGACAACUAUUUCGGAACAGAGGGAGUAGAAGGGAAAGAUGUUAGUAGUCACGUGAGAAUUGGUGGCGGGAUGGUAAGUAGGAGCUAAUUUAAGGCGGCAGGUCCUGUGUUCGAGUCUCA